rnacentral:lncRNA from 1 species
ACACAGAGCCCUACUGGCUACAUUUCACUUACAGCGCUGUGGUCCGGGUUCAUCACCAUCCUGCUCCACGCUGUCAUAAUCCUCACGCAUCCGCGCUCGAGACCCUUCUUCUAUAAAGAACAUACAGGAGAUCACCGGAAAUCUCUUCUCCCACUGUUCCCCAUGAGCCCGAAUGGGGACCCCGAAACUCAUAGCUGUCGCCACUCUAAACCCAUUUUCCCGGCACAACACUCACCGGAGCCAAAGCCGCGGCCCUUCCGUUUCUUCGCCUUUUCUUUCAGUUUGUGGAUGCUCUCUGGAGCCCCAGAAGUGCAAGAAUGAAUAACAAAGAUAACAGUUACUUAUAACAAUAGUCUGUCUCCGAAAACAUCAUCUGAAGGCAGUCCCACCACCUCCAGUCCCAUUCCCUUCCCGGUCCCUCCCCCAUUCCUCCCGAAGGGGGCGCAGUCUCUAAUCCAACCGAAACCUGGUUCCCCGACUCCCAUCCUCCCUGCCGGGCAGGAAUUGUUUUCCUAUUACAUCCUUCUCUCGCACCUUCCCCGCUUCCCGCAGCAGCCUCCACUGUCCUCACCGUCCCCAUCCUCAUCCAUGGCGAAAUCCUCGCCCCCGGCCUCAUGAAGAUCCAGCACGUCCGCCAUCUUGCCUCCCUUCUUGCUCUCGUCCGUGCCGCUCAGGCACUAGGCACCUCGGGAAACUGUCGCGGAGGGGAAAGGUCGCUAGUCAAGUUGACCAAUCAAAAGCUAAGUCUAAGUCCCGCCCCCGGCGCAGCGAAAAUACGCAAUGGAGGCGGGCCUUAUUCGGGAAGAUGCCGGAAGUGUUCCUGUAGCCAUCUUGAGCAAGUGGUCAGCUGAACAGAGUGGCACUGUUAGGGACAAGGUAACGGGUGGCUGCAGGCAGUGCCCUAUUAAGUAGGGCAGCCGAGGAGAAAUACU